rnacentral:lncRNA from 1 species
UUUUCGGAAACACAUAGGUGUCUGUGUUUGGCACCGAUCAUUAUAUUUUUAUGGAUAGGUAAUUUUAUGGAGGUAAGUUUGAGCAAGCCUGUUUCUACCAGCUCAUGAAUUAUAUUAUCAACACCACUUCUUUACCGAGUAUCCUCAUCUUGUGCGUCACUGCUCUUGGAAAUUCCGUUCAAUUCUUUCUACACUUUCUCGCCUUCUACUGUUUUAGUAGUCUUGUUUUUCAUUCUAUCAUUUGUUGUCAUGAUUAUAAUUUUAAUUUCUUUUCAUGUUACUUGUAUUGCUCUGUAAGUUUUGUUAAAAUUUUAAAAAUGAUAAUACAAUC